UGGGGAAUUUUGGACAAUGGGGGAAACCCUGAUCCAGCCAUCCCGCGUGUGCGAUGAAGGCCUUCGGGUUGUAAAGCACUUUUGGCAGGAAAGAAACGUCGCGGGUUAAUACCCCGCGAAACUGACGGUACCUGCAGAAUAAGCACCGGCUAACUACGUGCCAGCAGCCGCGGUAAUACGUAGGGUGCAAGCGUUAAUCGGAAUUACUGGGCGUAAAGCGUGCGCAGGCGGUUCGGAAAGAAAGAUGUGAAAUCCCAGAGCUUAACUUUGGAACUGCAUUUUUAACUACCGGGCUAGAGUGUGUCAGAGGGAGGUGGAAUUCCGCGUGUAGCAGUGAAAUGCGUAGAUAUGCGGAGGAACACCGAUGGCGAAGGCAGCCUCCUGGGAUAACACUGACGCUCAUGCACGAAAGCGUGGGGAGCAAACAGGAUUAGAUACCCUGGUAGUCCACGCCCUAAACGAUGUCAACUAGCUGUUGGGGCCUUCGGGCCUUGGUAGCGCAGCUAACGCGUGAAGUUUGACCGCCUGGGGAGUACGGUCGCAAGAUUAAAACUCAAAUGAAUUGAC
rnacentral:rRNA from 1 species